rnacentral:SRP_RNA from 1 species
GCUGAGUGUGGUGGCGCACACCUGUAAUCCCAGCUACCAGGGAGGCUGAGGCAGGAGAAUUGCUUGAACCCAGGAGGUGGAGGUUGCAGUGAGCCAAGAUUGCGCCACUGCACUCCAGCCUGGGCUACAGAGUGAGACUCUGUCUCAA